UACGUAGGUGGCAAGCGUUGUCCGGAUUUACUGGGCGUAAAGGGCGUGCAGGCGGUUCGUUAAGUUCGAGGUGAAAGCUCCCGGCUCAACUGGGAGAGGUUCUCGGAUACUGGCGGACUUGAGGGAGGCAGAGGAAAGUGGAAUUCCCGGUGUAGUGGUGAUAUGCGUAGAUAUCGGGAGGAACACCAGUGGCGAAGGCGGCUUUCUGGGCCUUACCUGACGCUGAGACGCGAAAGCGUGGGGAGCGAACCGG
rnacentral:rRNA from 1 species